GAAAACGCAGGAUAGCUCAGUUACUUAGGGCAUGAUGCUGAUAAUGCCAAGGUUGCAGGUUUGAUCCCCGCAUGGGACAGCUGCAUAUUCCUGCAUCGCAGCGGGUUGGACUAGAUGACCCUCGGGGUCCCUUCCAACUCUACAAUUCUCUGAUUCUAUUAUUCUUACCUCUGCCCCACUCCUGGCUUGUGGCACAGCUAUUACAGGCACAGGACUUCAGUCAAGGAGGAGGAGGAAUGCAGGGAUAAUAAUGAUAAUGAGAGAAACGGUAUGCAUAUAUAUUGUCUCAGUACUCCUUACAGUAGCUUGUGGGGCAGGGCGGUACGUAUUACCAUAUUGCAAAUGAGCAGCCUGAGGCUUUCAAAAUGCCUUUCCCGAGGUCAGGCAAAGGCUUUUAAACCUCGCCUUCCCGGCUCUCAAAAUUCAGGUUCCCUUGAGCUAUUAUUUUACUCCGGCGCCCUUCAGCCAACCUUCUAGGGAUGCGGGCACCGACUCUGGGGAAGUAAGACGAACUCUGCUCCUCUGAGACUGAAAGUGUGGCUAAGUCUCCUCUUUUGUCUAGUUUCAUGUAAACACCAGCGGAGAGAUUCCCAAGGGUGGGGUUGAUACUCAGGGAGCCCUUCCUGUUAAGGAAAUGCAGCUGAGAGGGAUUUUAUUUAAAGAGCAAAGUGUACCCAGAAAGGGUGCGGCCGGUGACCCAAACAACAGCUCAGCCCAGAUGGCUAGCUCCUCUGUUCAGGUUGUGUUCUUGCCUUUCCCCCACCUCUUUUCCUUUUCUUCUUUUUGGUUUAGACCAGUGGAAACGAGCUUGCAAAACGUAAUAAGGAGAGCCGGGAAAACAGAGUCAGGCCAGCGGGGCUGUUUACAUAGAGCAGCGGUGGAGUUUGCUCCCCCAGGUGGCAGUGAGGGUCAACUCUGAGGCCUUUAAAAGGGUCUUAGACAAAUUCACCAGGGUUAAGGCUGUCAGUGGCUGCUAACCACUAUUGCUGCGCUCUGCCUCUGUGGUGUUCGGACUCAGUUUGCUCCUGAAUGCCAGUUUCUGGAAACCACAGGAGCAGAGAGUUGCUCUUAUGCCCGGGUCCUGUUGUGUGCUUCCCACGGAUAUCUGGUUGGCCGCUGGGAGAACAGGAUUCUGCACCAGAUGGGCCGUUGGCCUGAUCCUGCACCGCUCGUCUUAGGCUCUAGCUCAUGGGUUCUCAAACUGUUUUUCUCUGGGCCACACUUUCAGAAUGAAAAUUUGCUCACUCCAC